GAGGUAUUGAUCAAAUGGUAGAGUUCCUGCCUAGCAAGCAGGAAGCCCUGAGUUCAAAUUUCAGUAUAAUUCU
rnacentral:tRNA from 1 species